CAAUUACACAUAUAAUUUAGCUCCAUUUCAUUCCUCUCCAUUUAACACGUGCAACUAUUAAUGACCCACCUUGUUUUUCUUGGAUUUCUCUUUCUACUCUUCAUCACAGCCAUCUUGCACCAGAAAAGACAGCAGCUCGCUCUCCUCGCCUGUCGUAGCAUGCUGUCGAGGAGGACAACCAUCAUACUGUCCCCGCUUGUUCGCCUACUACUACAUCUUCUUCGUUCAACGAUGCUGGCACUGGAUUAACAAUCUUCCUUCACUAAUCGAUCAAUCCUCACCGCUUACUGCUUCAACCGAAAGCCGAUUGGUUUGGUUCAAAUUGAAAUCUAUCUCCUUUGUACGUAACUCUUUGAGUUAAUUGUUAUGGAUCAGACUCAACUUAUCAUCAUUCCUCUUCUAGAGAUAGAGUUUUUUUUCAUGCUGCUAUUGCAGAGGCAGUUUUUUUUCUUCUUUUGGUGUUUUGAUUUUUUUAUUUAUUUAUAAUGAAUUGAACUUUUCCUCCUA